UCAAGGCUGUAUAUCUCCAGCGGACGCUUCCAUUCGCUUCUCCCACCCCAAUGCCUAAAGGUUUUUGGGGAGGAAGAGAAUGAGAAAGGGUGAUGGAUGGGGGACCAAUUGUAUACAGAGGCUGCAAAGGCAACUAUGGAAUUUCUAACUUAAUUAUGAAAAAAGGAUAGAAUUUUAGUGGGGACAUAAACAUUUCUAAAAUGUAUGAAAAAAAAAAAAGUUAAAGUAAUGCAUCCCUAACUGCAUGAAGAGCCAAUUUUAUAUUCCCAUUUUUUCUUCCCAGAAAGAAGUAAAAA
rnacentral:misc_RNA from 1 species